GGAGUUCCCGACUUCGGAAGGGAUGUAUUUAUUAGAUAAGAAACCAAACCGGUCUCCGGUUGUGUGCUGAGUCAUAAUAACUGCUCGAAUCGCACGGCUCUACGCUGGCGAUGGUUCAUUCAAAUUUCUGCCCUAUCANCUUUCGAUGGUAGGAUAGAGGCCUACCAUGGCGUUAACGGGUAACGGAGAAUUANGGUUCGAUUCCGGAGAGGGAGCCUGAGAAAUGGCUACCACAUCCAAGGAAGGCAGCANGCGCGUAAAUUGCCCGAAUCCUGACACAGGGAGGUAGUGAC
rnacentral:rRNA from 1 species